rnacentral:rRNA from 1 species
AGUAGGGCGGGACACGUGGUAUCCUGUCUGAAUAUGGGGGGACCAUCCUCCAAGGCUAAAUACUCCUGACUGACCGAUAGUGAACCAGUACCGUGAGGGAAAGGCGAAAAGAACCCCGGCGAGGGGAGUGAAAAAGAACCUGAAACCGUGUACGUACAAGCAGUGGGAGCCUCUUAAUGGGGUGACUGCGUACCUUUUGUAUAAUGGGUCAGCGACUUAUAUUCUGUAGCAAGGUUAACCGAAUAGGGGAGCCGAAGGGAAACCGAGUCUUAACUGGGCGUUAAGUUGCAGGGUAUAGACCCGAAACCCGGUGAUCUAGCCAUGGGCAGGUUGAAGGUUGGGUAACACUAACUGGAGGACCGAACCGACUAAUGUUGAAAAAUUAGCGGAUGACUUGUGGCUGGGGGUGAAAGGCCAAUCAAACCGGGAGAUAGCUGGUUCUCCCCGAAAGCUAUUUAGGUAGCGCCUCGUGAAUUCAUCUCCGGGGGUAGAGCACUGUUUCGGCAAGGGGGUCAUCCCGACUUACCAACCCGAUGCAAACUGCGAAUACCGGAGAAUGUUAUCACGGGAGACACACGGCGGGUGCUAACGUCCGUCGUGAAGAGGGAAACAACCCAGACCGCCAGCUAAGGUCCCAAAGUCAUGGUUAAGUGGGAAACGAUGUGGGAAGGCCCAGACAGCCAGGAUGUUGGCUUAGAAGCAGCCAUCAUUUAAAGAAAGCGUAAUAGCUCACUGGUCGAGUCGGCCUGCGCGGAAGAUGUAACGGGGCUAAACCAUGCACCGAAGCUGCGGCAGCGACACUAUGUGUUGUUGGGUAGGGGAGCGUUCUGUAAGCCUGUGAAGGUGUACUGUGAGGUAUGCUGGAGGUAUCAGAAGUGCGAAUGCUGACAUAAGUAACGAUAAAGCGGGUGAAAAGCCCGCUCGCCGGAAGACCAAGGGUUCCUGUCCAACGUUAAUCGGGGCAGGGUGAGUCGACCCCUAAGGCGAGGCCGAAAGGCGUAGUCGAUGGGAAACAGGUUAAUAUUCCUGUACUUGGUGUUACUGCGAAGGGGGGACGGAGAAGGCUAUGUUGGCCGGGCGACGGUUGUCCCGGUUUAAGCGUGUAGGCUGGUUUUCCAGGCAAAUCCGGAAAAUCAAGGCUGAGGCGUGAUGACGAGGCACUACGGUGCUGAAGCGACAAAUGCCCUGCUUCCAGGAAAAGCCUCUAAGCAUCAGGUAACAUCAAAUCGUACCCCAAACCGACACAGGUGGUCAGGUAGAGAAUACCAAGGCGCUUGAGAGAACUCGGGUGAAGGAACUAGGCAAAAUGGUGCCGUAACUUCGGGAGAAGGCACGCUGAUAUGUAGGUGAAGCGACUUGCUCGUGGAGCUGAAAUCAGUCGAAGAUACCAGCUGGCUGCAACUGUUUAUUAAAAACACAGCACUGUGCAAACACGAAAGUGGACGUAUACGGUGUGACGCCUGCCCGGUGCCGGAAGGUUAAUUGAUGGGGUUAGCGGUAACGCGAAGCUCUUGAUCGAAGCCCCGGUAAACGGCGGCCGUAACUAUAACGGUCCUAAGGUAGCGAAAUUCCUUGUCGGGUAAGUUCCGACCUGCACGAAUGGCGUAAUGAUGGCCAGGCUGUCUCCACCCGAGACUCAGUGAAAUUGAACUCGCUGUGAAGAUGCAGUGUACCCGCGGCAAGACGGAAAGACCCCGUGAACCUUUACUAUAGCUUGACACUGAACAUUGAGCCUUGAUGUGUAGGAUAGGUGGGAGGCUUUGAAGUGUGGACGCCAGUCUGCAUGGAGCCGACCUUGAAAUACCACCCUUUAAUGUUUGAUGUUCUAACGUGGGCCCCUUACCGGGGUUGCGGACAGUGUCUGGUGGGUAGUUUGACUGGGGCGGUCUCCUCCUAAAGAGUAACGGAGGAGCACGAAGGUUGGCUAAUCCUGGUCGGACAUCAGGAGGUUAGUGCAAUGGCAUAAGCCAGCUUGACUGCGAGCGUGACGGCGCGAGCAGGUGCGAAAGCAGGUCAUAGUGAUCCGGUGGUUCUGAAUGGAAGGGCCAUCGCUCAACGGAUAAAAGGUACUCCGGGGAUAACAGGCUGAUACCGCCCAAGAGUUCAUAUCGACGGCGGUGUUUGGCACCUCGAUGUCGGCUCAUCACAUCCUGGGGCUGAAGUAGGUCCCAAGGGUAUGGCUGUUCGCCAUUUAAAGUGGUACGCGAGCUGGGUUUAGAACGUCGUGAGACAGUUCGGUCCCUAUCUGCCGUGGGCGCUGGAGAACUGAGGGGGGCUGCUCCUAGUACGAGAGGACCGGAGUGGACGCAUCACUGGUGUUCGGGUUGUCAUGCCAAUGGCACUGCCCGGUAGCUAAAUGCGGAAGAGAUAAGUGCUGAAAGCAUCUAAGCACGAAACUUGCCCCGAGAUGAGUUCUCCCUGACUCCUUGAGAGUCCUGAAGGAACGUUGAAGACGACGACGUUGAUAGGCCGGGUGUGUAAGCGCAGCGAUGCGUUGAGCUAACCGGUACUAAUGAACCGUGAGGCUUAACCUUACAACGCCGAAG